rfam:Schistosoma rodhaini strain Burundi genome assembly, scaffold: SROB_scaffold0000279
GCACUACUGAGGAGUCCCAUAAUAGGACGAAACGGCCGUCCAGUGU